GAUGAACGCUGGCGGCGUGCUUAACACAUGCAAGUCGAACGGAGUUUCUUGGAUAGAGGUUUCGGCCAAUUGAAAAGAAACUUAGUGGCGGACGGGUGAGUAACGCGUGAGGAACCUGCCUUGGAGUGGGGAAUAACACAGUGAAAAUUGUGCUAAUACCGCAUAAUGCAGUCGAGUCGCAUGGCUCUGACUGCCAAAGAUUUAUCGCUCUAAGAUGGCCUCGCGUCUGAUUAGCUAGUUGGUAGGGUAACGGCCUACCAAGGCGACGAUCAGUAGCCGGACUGAGAGGUUGGCCGGCCACAUUGGGACUGAGACACGGCCCAG
rnacentral:rRNA from 1 species